rnacentral:misc_RNA from 1 species
AACUUUUGGCAACGGAUCACUUGGCUCUCGCAUCUAUGAAGAACGCAGCGAAAUGCGAUAAGUAAUGUGAAUUGCAGAACUCAGUGAAUCAUCGAAUCUUUGAACGCACCUUGCGCUCCUUGGUAUUCCGAGGAGCAUGCCUGUUUGAGUGUCAUUAAUAUAUCAACCUUCUCUUUUUGAGUGGUUUGGAUGUGGGGGUUUGCUGGCCUCUUAAAAAGGUCUUGGCUCUCCUGAAAUACAUUAGCAGAACAACCCUGUUCAUUGGUGUGAUAAACUAUCUACGCUAUUGAAUGUGAAGGGCAGUUUGGCUUUCUAACAGUCCUUGGACAAGCUCAUCAUUAAUGUGACCUCAAAUCAGGUAGGACUACCCGCUGAACUUAAGCAUAUCAAUAAGCGGAGGCU